GUUCCCUUAGACGUGUGCUGUUAAGCUUAUGAACACUUCAUUUUUUUAUCUCUCUCUCUUUCUACUUUGUUGGCUGGAUGAGCAAAUACCAUCUGACAGGUUGCAAAGGGUUUUUACACUAUGGGGAGGUGGGUUGGGCUUAUGUGUGUUAGAGCGCAAGCCACAGAGAUUGAUGCAUUUUGACAGCUGUGUGUGUGUUGGGCAAGUCUGCAGAUCUGGUUGGGUGAGACCGGGCUAUAUAAAAGGGCGGAUCACAAAUCGGAAGCUUUCUCCGUAGUUCCAGUCGCCCGUCACACUGUUGGGUACCCAAACUACCAGGUGCUCUUUGGUUGGCUGGGCGCUAGAUGGUUGGAGUUUAGACUGGCCAGUUGGAGUAGCAGCCACAGGAUCUUUACCACCACAGAGCCUGUGGAAGGUGUGGAGGAUCCAACUGUUUUUUUACGACUGCAUUCCGGACCGCUUUUUGCCCUGGAGCAAGUCGGAAACCCUGAAUUUCAAGUCAUUUUUAUUUGCUGCGUUCCUCCUUUUUGCCUGAACAAAAGGGUGUAAUCGCAACCAGGUUGGCAGAUGAAUCCCUCACGUUUCUACCUUCCCUGCACACUGCCAGCUUUUCCCCUUGCCUCCCCAGUGAAAUUGUUGUUAUUGAUGCGAUGUUCACGGAUUGGAGAACUUCGACAUAAGACCCACGUUAUUGGUCAUGGAGAGAUACAUUUAGAUGGUGGCAUAAUGAGUUAAUUAGGAUCUCUUUAGUGGUGGGUGGUGUUGGUCCCCCCCCCACACACAGCUGGUCCUGUUUACUUGACAUGUCUCCAGACCAGAGCUGCAUCAACACACCACUGCCCAAAGAAACCAACCCCAGAUCCACUACAGACAUGAUCAUCAGACUGGGCAGGCUGACCCCUGGAUACUUCCGCCUCCUACAGAGACAGGUGGCCGGUGAGGUGCAGACCCAGCCACAGGACCGCGCGGUCAACCAGAUAGCCAUGAUGCUGGCCAUCAUGGGCCUGAGCCUGUCCUACUACAGUGCCAAACGGAUGACCGAGAAGGUCCAGAGGCUCCAGAAGAGAAGAGAUCCCCAUACACCCUGAAGAGACCCCUCCCCCCAGUGCGCCGGUCCGCUUUGAACCUGGAGAAGACGAACCAACGCGGAAAUGAGGAGAGGAGAGUUGUCGGUGUCCAGAACAACACCUUUUCACAACCAAUCAGUCAUAGUCACGUUGUUCAGACACUGGAGUUUUACUGGGAUCACUCUCAAUGUGAGGAGAGUUCGGGGUCUGCUGUUGUUAAGGGUAUCUUAAUUUUUCACCCCAAUGGAUGUUGGGAGGACCUUGUGGGGGAGUGUGUAUGUGGGGAAAGGCCGACGGUGGGGUUCGUGUGGUCCUGAUAAAGUUUGGGGGGUAAAAAGUACAACCAUCUGUCUAUGGUCAGGCUGGGCCCGUGCUUCAGUCGUUGCAAAGGUACAUGCGUGCAGGAUGCCGUCAAUACUGUUCUGAGCUAAAAAGGAUAAAGAAAUGCUAAACUAAUUAUUCUAAUGUACUGUGAAUCUCUUGUCAGUGCUCCAAGUAUAUGACAGUUUGUCUAAAAUAACUGAACAGUAAUUAUUUUUUUAAGGGAACGCUUUCUGCAUUUGAGAUGUAUCUAGUAAUGACUGAAGGUGGGCCCGUAGUGUGGCUGAAAGUGGGGAGAAAGAAAACCUCUUAGGUUUUUGUAAUUCCUUUAUUGUUAAAAAAAAUUAAAGUGAGCCAUGUGAACUAGAUGUGGAGGAGUCUCAAACUGGUCAAUAAUUCCACAUGUUCAAUAUCUGUUAAUGUCAGACACAAACAACCGUACAUUACUGGUGAAAUGCAGUAUUUUAACGUUUUGGGAACUUGCUUAUCCAAAUCUACGAAAAAAAGGCACGUAAAUCACAGUCUUGAUAAAAAUGGGUGGCUUUCUUUUAAAGAACUCGAUCUGCAAUAGCUACUAGGUGUUACCACAAAUAUUCUAACUUCAGUAAACGUUGCAUGGGUGUGCAGCUUUUAAUCUCUUCGUUAAUACUGUCACGUUUAGUUUUUUAAAGGACGAUAACCAUGAAUGUAUAUUUCUGUGAUGUUUUAUAGAAAUCGAAUAAAGCUGUGACUUGAAUAAUAAGAACCGUGGCAGUUUAGCAAUGAUUUGAAGGUGUUUGGGAAUUUUGGAAAAACCGACAUGAACAAGCAUUUUAUCACAAUAUUUAUAUUUUGUUAAGGGGAACUUCUUUAAUCUCAAUUUUUCUGUGAAACGAUG
ensembl:lncRNA